CUCGCCGAAACCCAAACCUCCUCAAUCUGUGAAAAAUAAACCCUAGCUUCACUGUUUUGUUCCAAUUUGACGAUGCCGCCGGACACUGCAAUAGAAAUCGAUGAUGUGUUGUGUCGAUUGAAUACAUCAGAUCCACUGGUUGUUCUGAUUUGAAGACGCCGCCGAAUAGGAAUCGUGUAGCAAAACAAAACUGGCAACAUGGUGAGGAGAAAAUGACCUUACAAGAGCCAACUAACUCAAAACACAGGUAGAAAGACUGAACGAGAGCGCAAGUCAAAUUUGAUGACAAUAAAGAGUUAGUUGGUGUUGG